ACUGGAAAAUGGAAACUGCCGAUUUCACUCCCAUCUUAGCUCUAUAUAAUUUUUGCCACAGCAUAUUUGUAUAAUUACAAGAUGGCGACGCACAACCUUUUAACAUUUAUGAUGAAUUACUACAAGAAACGUCGAAACCACUACGUCAGAUAAAAGGUACACCGUUAGGAAAGGUACUGAGUGUUUAAAAUAAUUCUUCAUCUCGUUCCUGUAUAACCAGAACUACAUAUGCUCCAGAACAGAGAUCCUAUUCAUGGUCCUUCGAGCCGGAUAUGAUCCAGCGACCUAUGGAUAAGAUAAAACUUACAUCUGUGUAGUGAUCGACGUUUCCUGUAGUAUAAAAUAACUAAAAUCAUAUCGCCAACUCUGCUACAAACUAUUCAAAGAACAAAAAACAACUUAUAAGCAAAAACCUAACGAUAAGCUAAAUAUAAAAAAGCCUACAGUAUGAUUUGACCCUGGGCGAUUUGUUAGAAGAUAAAUAAGAGAUUUGAGGGACACCAAAAUAUGAGUUUUAAUAAAAAACACAACUGGUAGAUCAUUGUUAUCAAACCUAUUUAAUAAUUACUGUAGUAGGUACACGUUUCGUUUAAAAAUGCUUGGAUUUAUCGAUACUUUCAGUGAGCUGCAUAUGGCCGUAAAGGUUCCUUAAUAUAUCUUUAACUGUUUUGGUUUAUUGAUGGUAAAAGCAAAUUUACUGAUUUAGGUGGGAGAAUAUCAACUUCUGUUAGAAUCAGGAGUGCGACAAGGCGAUUUCCUGUCAACCACGCUAUUUAACAUAGCAGUAGAAGAAAAGUCAAGGCCAGAGGAAAUUAAAGGUCCAUAGCCCACUCUCCAGGACAAAUUGUAGCAUAUGUAGAUGACAUAGUUCUUAUGGGAAGAGAAAAAGGAAAAAUUAAAAGAAGCAUUUGUAAUUAUGUCAAGUUAAGCACGGAAAAGAGGUCUAGAAAUGAACGAAGGAAAAACAAAAUAUGUAAUCGGCUCUAGAAGAGAAGAACAAAA
rnacentral:lncRNA from 1 species